UCUGAUUAAUUAUUCCGAUUAAUCGCUAAUCGAUACCUUCAUGGAUUAAUUCCGAUUCCCACUAUUUACAACACUGGUUAUAAUACUAUACUAAAUUCUACGAGUGUUAUAUAAUUAGGUUAUUAAGUCUGCUUUUCAAUUUUUCUUAAGAAAAUUCCCUUUUCCAAUUUUAGUUUUUUUAAAUUUGAUCAGAGUUGGAUCGAUUUUGACUGAUUUUGACCCAGGCUCAAAUCUGGGAUAUCAUCCGAGUAAUCUAAUAUUGUUUUGGAGAAGGGUCUGGGUCCGAGUCCGAGUACUCGCCUGAUUUAUUGGCCGAUUUUCAGAACACUGGUUUUAUGUUGCUCGAUCAUUGCAUAAUUUCUCCUUUGAACUUAAGGUGUGAAGGAGGUGCUUUCUUGUGUCGUCCAUGAUUUGCCUCCAAUUGGCCUUUUGUUUUGUGUUUCGUAGCACUAACUUAGCAAAAUUCCUUUUUGCUUACAAAAUUAAGGUCAUGAUGCUUGAUUUAUUAAGGCGUUUAUGUCGACCACUAUAACCAAAAAUACAAUCUCUGAUUCCCCCAGCCUUAUAUUUCUUGGUAAUUUGUUCUUUCGUAUUAGGUGGAAGUUUAUCUCAUUCUCACCUGUAAAUUUUAAUCAUUAGGAACAAUUAUAUACUUCUCAAGGACAGUAGAUGGUCUUUUGAUCAAAGUCUCUGUUCCUGGAUAGUUCUUUGCUUUAUCUGUUAGAUUUACAGUGUAAGGCAGUCUUACCUCGUAGCAUUCACUCUUAAAAUAUUUAGAUAAUUAUAUAUGCAGAUUUUGGCUAUGGUUGCCAACUUCUUCAUUCAGUCAUUUAUUUGUUGCCUCAAAAUACUUGAGCACAAUUUACAAAACGGUGUGUGUGUGUGUGCAGCUGAGAGGCUAUUAGACUGGAACAGUUCGUAGCGGGGACUAUGUAGUAAGCGUGACUCAUUCUGUCAAAAUUCACAUUUUCUGUUACUUUACCCAAAUUCGUUCACCCAAGUGUAUAUAGGAAUUAUGUAUUACAAGGUUGCUAAGCUAUUCUGUUUAGUUUUUUUUUUUUUUUUUUGCAAGGAAAUAAAAUAAGCUAUUCUGUUUAGUUUAGAAAGCCCAGUUGUACAUGCCCUGGGAAGGGCUCGGGGGAAAAGUGUUGGUUAACACAUUGCAAUGAGUAGUAUGCCAUUCAUUUUGCAGCUGCUGAAAACGUAAUCUCUUUUCCCAGAUUCAAUUGUGCUUUAGGAAUCAUGGUUCUUGUUGCAGCUAAUUUACAGAUUUUGUACCGCCGACCGACUCAGGAAAGAAGCUGACAGCCCAAUAUUCCCCAUGAUUCAGGUGUUUCACGGGAGGGUAGGUCUUCCGACCGAGUGAGGUGUUGCCAGCUGUCUGAAGUGGUCCAUCUGCGGAGUCUUAUUGCCGACAGCAUGAAAUAACUGUUACUGUAACUAUGAGUAUGAAUUUGCCCAUCAGCCCAUGAAUAAUGAUGAAUCGUGUAAAGGGUGGUGUACUAUAAUUAUCAGGAACCUUCUGAUGUGCAUCAUCGACGAUUAGUUCUACAUCUACUUGAAGACUUCCUGAAGAGAAAUUGAAGACUUCCUGAUUCCCUGAAUAAUGUGCGAAUUCUGGUGUAGGAUUCAUCUAAUAAAGAGAACAGAAUUCACUGGAUGAGUUGGGGGAGAUUAAGCAAGAAGAAAACGGAAGGAGGCUUAGGUUUUCGUAAUCUACGUUAGUUCAACCUCACCCUCUUGGAUAAGCAGGGGUGGAAACUGAUUCAAUCCCCAGGCAGUUUGGUUAGCAAAAUUUUCAAAGCUCAGCAUUAUCCAAAUGGCACCUUCUUAACUGCUAAAAUGGUGGCAGCCGUAGUUAUAUCUGACGUAGUACGAUUCUCAAGAAGGGUGAGAUCAGGCAGAUAAGUAGACAUUCUAACUAUCAUUGGCCUCCUUAUCAAACGAUUAUUGGCUCCCGGAUUAGGAGGAUCCAUAUAUUCACACGAAGCAUGAAGGUCCAAUAGAACAGUUGCAUCUCUAAUGAUCCCUGGAGGAAAUCAACGGGACGCUGAUCUGGUAAAAGAUAUGUUCGAGGAGAGAUGCAAAUCUGAUGUCAAUCUCUCUAAGGAACAAUGACAGCGACUCUUGGUACUGGAAGGAAGAAAAGCUGGGUCAGUAUAGUGUGAGAAGUGCCUACGGGGUAAGGGUUGAUACAAGCAGAUAAAGGAUCCACACAUACAUCUGACAACUCGGGUUUUUGACGUAAGUUAUGAAAUUUAAAGGUACCUCCAAAGGUGAAAAGCUUCCUGUGGCAUGCAUCCACAGGUAUUCUCCCAACCAAAACACAACUGAGGUUAAAGCAAGUGAAGAUAAACGUGUUAUGCCCAGUCUGCAAUGAGGAAUUAGAAUCAAUUUGUCAUGCUCUUGUUUCCUGUCAAUUGGCUCAGGCUUGCUGGAACAUAGUUGGUAAAUGGAAUCACGUACAGGACAAUGUAAUUUCAUGGAAUGGCUCGACCAGGUUUUCAAAGCUAACAAUGGGGAGGAUAUUAGUUCUAUAGUCAUGCUGCUUUGGUCGUUAUGGAAAAGCAUGAACGAGCUAGUAUGGAAUCAACGAGGAAUGGGAGUUGAUGAGAUUGUAGAGUCUGCAUAAUCAGUACUUAACCAAAGGCAGAAUGCUCAGGAUAAAACUUUUGACAAUUUGCUUGGUCUUGUGACACAAGAAGAUGGAGCUGAGUACUAGAAACUUCCCAUCGAAGGUACGGUUAAGGUAAACACAGAUACAACAAUCUUCCGUGAGUCCAAAUGUUACAGUUAUUCCAUGAUCGCCCUUAACCACAGCAGAGAGCUGAUAGAAGCGAAAUUGAAGUGUAACCAAGGUACAAUCAGUCGGGAACUAGCAGAAGCAAUGGGAGUACGAGAGGGUUUAAGCCGGGUAAAAUCAUCUGCAUGGAGAGACGUCGAGAUCGAGACAGAAUGUAUGCUCAUCGUCCAAGCAAUCAGAAGCAAUGAUGUCUGUUUAUCAUACCUCGGCAUAAUAGUAGACGAAUGCAAACAAAUUUUGUACGAGUUUGUUGAUCAAAAAGUAUCUUUUGAAAUUUGUCAAGCGGUCAGCGAAUAAGUUCAUUACGUGGCUAGAUGUAAUUGUUUUGUAGUCGGAGGGCGGAUAACAUCCUUUCAAAAAUUUUACAUGUACUACUGCAUGAUUUGAAGUUUUAUUGAAAUCUUUUCUUUGUGGCAAAAAAA